AGGCAACCAGCUUCAUCACAACAACGGUCAUCCUCUGGAGGGUACGCGGUCACGUCAGCCGCCCGCGGCGAGGUCACAGAGCGACACGAGGGGCCGACGUUUGUUCCCGCCGCCUGCGCCGGACCCGCGAGCCGACGCCGCGCCGGCAGCCUAUCAGGUUUGCUCACCCCACGAUGACGAUGACGAAGUCCAGCAAGUUCCAGCCGUUGCGGAUGUACGAGCUGGGAUGCAUGACCAGACCGUAGGCCAGGAUCUUCAGAAAGGUCUCCACGUUGGAGAACAAUUCCAGACUUCAUUGAGAGCAGGGUUAAAUACAGCACGGUGGAGAACAGCUGAGGAAGGCAGAUGCAUGAUGGGACACGGAAUGAGAUGCAGUACUCUGGAGAGGGCUCCCUCUGGUGGUCGGAGGAGGACACACGGCUGGCUGAGCCCUGACACAAACACACACUCGAUCAUCUCUGGAUACCUGGUAACCAGAUAGUGAGACACACGAUGAAGGCCGGCUCAAAACCUCCGGGCUCCAGAGCAAGGACUCGUCUAAUGAGCGCAUUGCUCCAGCAGAGUCAGCGAUGUGGAGCGUGAAGGAGCCAUUACUCCUCCAGGAAGUGACUGACGGAACAGUGUGAGCAAAUAAAGGUGAAGAGACCCUGCUACAAGGAGAGAGAGAGAGGGAAUGUUCUAGCACGGGGGUGUCAAACUCAAUCGCACAAGGGGCCAAAAUCCAAAACAGGAGCAGGA
rnacentral:lncRNA from 1 species